GACCUCCCCCCCACUACCCUUUCGGCAAUACGAUAUAAUAACCCUUUCUCCGAGGUAUACCGCUCCCCCUCUAAUCUGGCCUGGUCUGUGCUUAUCCUGUCUUGUACACCUGUAACGUGGGGUCUAUCUUCACCUCCGCCUCAAAUUUAGUUGGGGUAUCCCAGGUCAUACGUGUCGUGUGAGGGUCACUGUCUCUUACCUGAGCCUCAGAGUGUACUGGUGGAACCAUGGUGCGAGCCUGUUGUCUUGUGGUCACUGGAUGGGCUUCCUGGUGUGGAGCCUGGGGUAUAAAAGCAGAAGUCAUCCAGCCCAGGUCGUUCCCCAAUACAACAUCCG